CCUAUGACAUAUUUAAAUGGCCGCAGUACUCUGACUGUGCAAAGGUAGCAUAAUCACUUGCCUCUUAAUUAGAGGCUGGAAUGAAAGAGGCGACGAAAUCUAGACUAUUUAAGUUUCAAGUUAAAUUGACAAGCUGGUCAAAAGGCCCGCAUACACCGGGGGGACGACAAGACCCUAUAAAACUUCACUCUUUUGGGUUGUACCUGUCAGAACUGUACUACUACUAGAGUUAAACUGGGGCGGUAUCUGUAUAAACAACUGUAUUUAUAAUAUGUUAAAUAACGAGCAAGAACUCUUUAUGAAAUAGAACAAGUUACUUUAGGGAUAACAGCGUAAUUCUCCCAGAUAGCCCUGAUUGGCGGGGGAGCUUACGACCUCGAUGUUGAAUUGGGGAUCCUUGUAUAAGCAGAAAUAUAUGAAGACAGUCUGUUCGACUGUUAAAUCCCC
rnacentral:rRNA from 1 species